CUUUCUUGAAGGCUUGUUUCACCAAAGUUUUGUUGCUGCUCCUCAUAAGCAUUGUUGUUGUAGUGGUUAUUGGUGGUGGUGGUGGUGGUGGAGUCAGUUGGAUAAUUGGUGUAGGUUUCUUGGGUUUGGGUCUGGGUUUUGUAUGGCUGGUAAGUGGUUGUGGUGUAGGGUGCAUUUGUUAGUUUAGUAGUGGUGGGGAACUGGGAGGAUUCUUGACCAUAUAGACCAUAGCCAUUUUGGGUGUCUGGGAUAAAGGCUGGAUCUAGUUCUUGCUUGUUAAAGCUUUCUUCUUCUUUGUUGGGGAGUGUUUUAUCUUGAACAUUAUUGUUGUUGAUGGUGGUAGUGGAGGGAGUAGCG
rnacentral:lncRNA from 1 species